rnacentral:rRNA from 1 species
AAGUCGUAACAAGGUCUCCGUUGGUGAACCAGCGGAGGGAUCAUUACAGAGCUUAACAACUCCCAAACCCCUGUGAACAUACCACCGUUGCUUCGGCGGGUACGCCCCGGGCGCGCGCAAGCGUGCCCCGGAACCAGGCGCCCGCCGGGGGAAACAAACUCUUGUCUUACUUUUGUAUCGUCUGAGUGGAUUAUUAAAUAAAUCAAAACUUUCAACAGCGGAUCUCUUGGCUCUGGCAUCGAUGAAGAACGCAGCGAAAUGCGAUAAGUAAUGCGAAUUGCAGAAUUCAGUGAAUCAUCGAAUCUUUGAACGCACAUUGCGCCCGCUAGUAUUCUGGNGGGCAUGCCUGUCUGAGCGUCAUUUCAACCCUCGCGCCCGGCUCUUUUGCCGGAUGCGGUGUUGNGGAUCGGCCUGCCGUCUGACGGCGGGCCGGCCCCGAAAUGNAGUGGCGACCACGCCGUAGCCUCCUCUGCGUAGUAAUCCAAUUCUCGCAGGCGGAGAGCGGUGCGGUCACGCCGUUAAACCCCCCAAACUUUACCAAGGUUGACCUCAGAUCAGGUAGGAAUACCCGCUGAACUUAAGCAUAUCAAUAAGCGGAGGAAAAGAAACCAACAGGGAUUGCCUCAGUAACGGCGAGUGAAGCGGCAACAGCUCAAAUUUGAAAUCUGGCUUUCGGGCCCGAGUUGUAAUUUGCAGAGGAUGUUUCUGGCGAGGCGCCUUNCGAGUUCCCUGGAACGGGACGCCAUAGAGGGUGAGAGCCCCGUCCGGUUGGUCNNCAAGCCUCUGUGAAACUCCUUCGACGAGUCGAGUAGUUUGGGAAUGCUGCUCUAAAUGGGAGGUAUACGUCUUCUAAAGCUAAAUAUAGGCCAGAGACCGAUAGCGCACAAGUAGAGUGAUCGAAAGAUGAAAAGCACUUUGAAAAGAGGGUUAAAUAGUACGUGAAAUUGUUGAAAGGGAAGCGUUUAUGACCAGACUUGGGCCGGUUGAUCAUCCAUCGUUCUCGGUGGUGCACUCUGCCGGCUCAGGCCAGCAUCAGUUUGGCUUGGGGGACAAAGGUUUCGGGAAUGUGGCUCCCUAGGGAGUGUUAUAGCCCGUUGCGUAAUACCCUGGGCUAGACUGAGGUUCGCGCUCCGCAAGGAUGCUGGCGUAAUGGUCAUCAGCGACC